GACGAACGCUGGCGGCGUGCUUAACACAUGCAAGUCGAACGGAAAGGCCUCUUUCGGGGGGUACUCGAGUGGCGAACGGGUGAGUAACACGUGAGUAACCUGUCCUUGACUUUGGGAUAACUUCAGGAAACUGGGGCUAAUACCGGAUAGGAGCUCCUGCUGCAUGGUGGGGGUUGGAAAGUUUCGGCGGUUGGGGAUGGACUCGCGGCUUAUCAGCUUGUUGGUGGGGUAGUGGCUUACCAAGGCUUUGACGGGUAGCCGGCCUGAGAGGGUGACCGGCCACAGUGGGACUGAGAUACGGCCCAGACUCCUACGGGAGGCAGCAGUGGGGAAUAUUGCACAAUGGGUGGAAGCCUGAUGCAGCAACGCCGUGUGCGGGAUGACGGCCUUCGGGUUGUAAACCGCUUUCGCUCAUGACGAAGCUUUGUGUGACGGUAGUGGGUAAAGAAGCACCGGCUAACUACGUG
rnacentral:rRNA from 1 species